rnacentral:misc_RNA from 1 species
AUAUCAUAAAUCAAUUCAAAACGAAAGCAGUACAAGUUAUUCAUUGAAAUUCAUCAUUUGGGGUUCAACUUUUUUGAGGUAGAAAAUGGAGAAGAAGGGUGCUGGAGGAAGAAAAGGUGGUGGUCCAAAGAAGAAGGCAGUUACAAGAUCUGUUAAGGCUGGAUUACAGUUUCCGGUGGGUAGAAUUGGUAGGUAUUUGAAAAAGGGUCGUUAUUCUGUUCUUCUUGUUAUCUCUCGCUGCAUUUCCAGCCAAUUCCAAAACCUCAGCAGCAAGGUACUCAAGCACAGCAGCAAGAUAA